rnacentral:rRNA from 1 species
UACGUAGGUGACAAGCGUUGUCCGGAUUUACUGGGCGUAAAGAGCGCGCAGGCGGUCGAUCAAGUCGAGUGUGAAAGCCCCCGGCUCAACUGGGGAGGGUCAUUCGAUACUGAUCGACUCGAAGGCAGGAGAGGGUAGUGGAAUUCCCGGUGUAGUGGUGAAAUGCGUAGAGAUCGGGAGGAACAUCUGUGGCGAAGGCGACUGCCUGGACCAGCACUGACACUGAGGCACGAAAGCGUGGGGAGCAAACAGG